rnacentral:ncRNA from 1 species
AUGCGUGCUCCUCUGUGCAAACUGCCACAGAGAAAUUCACUCCUCACUGCAGCCUCCACGGGAAACCGUGGUUGAAACUUCGGGUGAAUUCAGGGAAGCCUGCCCCGAUUCCAGGAUGAAUCGGAAUGGGAAUCCUGAGCGAAGCCUGCCGAAGGGUCAGCGUGUAGGCAGGACCGUGCAGAGACUAGAGGCUGCGGAACCCGUCCAAUAACGCCUCAUCAGCGCCCGACACCCUCCCCUGCAUGUAAUGCAGGCGGGUGAAGAGAUAGUCCAAGCCCGGUUGAAAAAUCGGG